AUGAGUUUCUCUGCCCUUAGCCAGGCUGAUCAUCAGGGAACGUGGUCUGUUGCUGGUAUCCCAUUGUGAAAAUCCAGAAUCAACCAUCAGAAGGCAUCCAAAGUUCCUGAGAGGACUUCUUUCAUAAAUUGUAGGCAGCAGACAAGUUUGGUUUUGACAUAUGAUUUCAUUCAUUCAACAGCCAUUUAUUAUUCCUCUAGGGUGCCAGAUUAGAUGCUAGGUGCUAUAGAUACAGAGACAAAAAUGAAAUAGUCCCUGCCUAAGUGUAAGGGGGGUGGAGAGCAUGGGGAAGGACAGCAAUAUACACCCACUCAUAAAUGAAUUCAAAACAAGGGGAUAGGAAGAUAUAGGUAUCUAAAAGUAAAUGCAAGAUAAUUUGAGGAUGGAGAGUACACUAACUGCUGGAAAAAUCAGGGAAGACUUCUCAGAGAAGGUGACAACUAAACUAAAUCUCAAAAAAAGAGGAUAAUGAGAUAAUAAUAGUAAUAGCAAUUAUUAUUAUGGUUUUAAUAGCAUUUAUAUGGAGCUUUAAGAUUUAUAAAGCAUUUUUACAUAUUAUCUCACUUGAACUUCACAACAAAUAAGAGAUGUGCUAUUAUUAUCUGAAUUUUGCAGAUGAGGAAACUGAGGCAUGGAGGGCAAAGUGACUUGUCCAGGAUCACACAGCUGGAUUUACAGGGAGCUGGAGCACCUGCUGUUGGACUGAGUUGGGGCUGCCAGAAUCAAUUGGCCAGGCCCUGUGGAAGCAGGCUGCUUGGUACCUGGACCACUGAUGGCUUCUUUGGAUUCCCAGAUGGCUUAGACUGGUGGCAUCCAUCCAUUGGUGUACCCUCAGCUUGGUUUUUCUCCCCAAUUUGUUUCUUCCGCUACUGUGUAAUAUUUCUUACUGUCUGGUUUUGUUCCUUUGCAAACUGGUUUUUUCUCAUUUCUAAUUUCGAUUUCUUUCUUGUAUUUGAUAUUUAUUAUCUGAGCGCAUUCACAUGGGCCAACCAUGUAGUAUAGAAUUUUUUUAAUGUUAGUUAUUGUUUGAUAUAGUAGAAUUAUUCGUCAGCUCAGGGAGAGGGGAGAGAAGAUCAUGAAUCAUG
rnacentral:lncRNA from 1 species